rnacentral:rRNA from 1 species
GAUGAACGCUGGCGGCGUGCCUAAUACAUGCAAGUCGAGCGAACAGACGAGGAGCUCGCUCCUCUGACGUUAGCGGCGGACGGGUGAGUAACACGUGGAUAACCUACCUAUAAGACUGGGAUAACUUCGGGAAACCGGAGCUAAUACCGGAUAAUAUAUUGAACCGCAUGGUUCAAUAGUGAAAGACGGUUUUGCUGUCACUUAUAGAUGGAUCCGCGCCGCAUUAGCUAGUUGGUAAGGUAACGGCUUACCAAGGCGACGAUGCGUAGCCGACCUGAGAGGGUGAUCGGCCACACUGGAACUGAGACACGGUCCAGACUCCUACGGGAGGCAGCAGUAGGGAAUCUUCCGCAAUGGGCGAAAGCCUGACGGAGCAACGCCGCGUGAGUGAUGAAGGUCUUCGGAUCGUAAAACUCUGGUAUUAGGGAAGAACAAAUGUGUAAGUAACUAUGCACGUCUUGACGGUACCUAAUCAGAAAGCCACGGCUAACUACGUG